CUCGACGAGUACACGGAAGUAGAUCAAACCGAACUCGCUCAUAGAAGAAGCCAAGUCCUUGACUUUACCCCAGUAACGUCCAUCCAAAGGUGAUAACGCCGUUAAGUUCGACAUCUCCAAGUCUCUGGAGCUUCCCGUGGCCAUUGCUCUUACCUUUCUUGGCUUGAGAGGAUCAGUAGACGAGAGAGAGAGUGGAACUCUGGGAAGCGGAUGGUGAGAAGCUAAGGUAAGCGAUUUUGAUGGGUUUAAGAGUGUGUUGGUGGUGGGUGUGGCGGCGAAGCAAGGGAGCUUGGUGUUGGUUAAAGCCUUGGAAGAGACAUUGAGCUCCAUUUUGUGAUUAUAGAGUAGAGAUUCCAGAAGCACGAGCACGACGAAGAAGGCAAGGAGUGAAAGCUUGGCGCUUUAGGGUUUUAGAUGAUUUGGUUUAACGGUGGGAGGCUGGAAACAUGUUAGAGAUCAUUUUUGGAUUAUACUAACAUCCUUAAGGAACAAUAAGAAAACAUCAAAUCCGUUGUAGUCUAGCUGGUCAGGAUACUCGGCUCUCACCCGAGAGACCCGGGUUCGAGUCCCGGCAACGGAGUUUUUUUUUGUUCUUUUUGCGAACAAUCCUCUCUCUUAUGAGGGGAAACAUUGUCUUCUUUUGAUUACAUCAUAUGUUAGUUUCUUAGCUUAUAUCAAUGCAAGAAUGCUUUGAAAAUGCAAGGAAACAGAGCUUAAUGGAGAAAAGAACAACUAUAUUUUCAAUCAUAGAAUCAGAUUUGUCUGUUCAUUGUUUCUGCUUCUUCUCACAUUUUACAAAAGUUAAAAAAAAAAAUGAUAACAGAAGCUGCUAAUCUCCUCCUAUUCAACUGAAAACCUCAGCGAACUUCUCAGAAACCAAAACUCCAGAAUCAAUAGACUCCAACGGAUCUUUCCUGAGACGGUGCCUUAAGCAGUUAGGUAUAACAGUUGCAACAUCAUCCGCAGUCACUCUAUCUUUCCCUUUCAAAGCCGCAAGUGCUUUCGCCGCUCUGUUAGUCACUAUAUCUCCUCUCAACCCAUCGACAUUCAGCUCCGAACACACCUUA